AAAGACUUAGGUUAAUUAAACCCGGGGCCUUCAAAGCCCCAAACAAGGACACUACUUCCUUAGUUUUUG
rnacentral:tRNA from 1 species